UUUUUUUUGAAUGUUUGAACCCAAAAUCUUAGCUGUCAAAACUAGCCCAAGAUCGAAUUAUGGCGAGAGUCAGGGACAGAAUGGAAGAUUAUAAAGAUGUUGUGCACCGCUCAAUUUGUGUUGUUGAAGCAAGGGAAGGAGGUGGACAGGGUCCUUGGUCCUAAGAAGGUUGAGCUCGAGAAGAAGGUUGAGAGGUCGUUGGUGCUAAGAGGGAUGAGCUUGAAAAUAAGGAUGAGAAGCACAGAGUUCGACCGAAAUUUGCUGUUUGAUUUUAAAUACAAGUUUGGAUGAUUGUAAUGACUAUACCUGUAGAUUAAAGCACAAAUUUGAACGAUUGUAAUGAACGUAUUUGUUGUUUUGAAUGGUGAAAAUUUGAAAUAAUUGACUAGUUUUGCCGUGG